GUAAUUACAUGCUACAGAUUGGAAGAAUAGUAUUUACAGUGGAACUUGUCUUUCAUUUAGAAGUUUUGUGCGGCUGAAUAUACCGACUGUGGUGAAAAUGGUUUCCGUUAUGGUUUUCUGAUUCGCCGUCCUUGCUGUAAAGGUCUUUUCUGUGAACAGCUUGGCACUCGACGGUUGUGUAUGAAACGGUGGCGCUGGAAGAAUACCAAUGAAGUGUACUUUUCAUGAAUCUGUGGCUCUUCAGACCAUCGAUAUUUUCUUGAAGACUACAAUAUCUACUUUAAAUUCAUUAUGUGUAUGCUUUGUCUAAUAGAUAAAAAGGGUAUUGAUAAUAUAAACCGGUUUCUUGAAUAAAGUCACCCAUUUUCCUUGGCUUUUUUUAUGUCAUAAA